GAUGAACGCUGGCGGCGUGCCUAAUACAUGCAAGUCGAGCGAACGGACCUUUAGCUUGCUUCUCUGAUGUUAGCCGCGGACGGGUGUGUAACACGUGGAUAACCUACCUAUCUUACUGGGAUAACUUCGGGAAACCGGAGAUUACCGCGGAUGAUAUCUUGUUCCGUAUGGUGCGAUAGUGAAAGACGGUCUUGCUGUCACUUAUAGAUGGAUCCGCGCUGCAUUAGCUAGUUGGUAAGGUAACGGCUUACCAAGGCAACGAUGCAUAGCCGACCUGAGAGGGUGAUCGGCCACACUGGAACUGAGACACGGUCCAGACUCCUACGGGAGGCAGCAGUAGGGAAUCUUCCGCAAUGGGCGAAGACGUGACGGAGAUACACCGAGUGAGUGAUCAGAAACUUCGGAUCGGAAAGCUCGGUUAUUAGGGAAGAAAAGAUGUGUACGUAACUGAGCAAAUGUUGACGGUACCUAAUCAGAGACGCACGGCUAACUACGUG
rnacentral:rRNA from 1 species